rnacentral:lncRNA from 1 species
AAAGACAGGUUUGUGCGAGUGGCCCUUUCCUCUCCUUCCUAGCGUGGUUGGGUAACCUUAGUCUCCCAGACUGGUUUUAUUAUUAACCCUUCCAGUUAACUCUGGUUAAGCAAUGAAAUAAUUCUACGGCUGGGGGGGGGGGGGGUCACCGCAACACGAGGAACUGUAUUAAAAGGCCGGAAGGCUGAGAGCCGCUGCUCUAGGAGAACAGGCCCCUUGAAGACUUGUUUGAGCUUAUGACUUGGAGCUGGCCUUAGGAGUAUAUUUGAGACUUGGAAGCACCCAACCUUACCUGGCCAUUUCAUAACCUUUCUGCAUUACCAGGACCCUCCACUACUCCCCAGCAGUUGACAAAUCUCAAUGUAUAAUUCUUGAGAAAACACUCAUUGUUGGUUGCAGCCUCGAGUAAACCACCCAAAAAGUCCCUAA